rnacentral:rRNA from 1 species
UGCUCAAAAUGGGAGGUAUAUUUCUUCUAAAGCUAAAUACCGGCCAGAGACCGAUAGCGCACAAGUAGAGUGAUCGAAAGAUGAAAAGCACUUUGAAAAGAGGGUUAAACAGCACGUGAAAUUGUUAAAAGGGAAGCGCUUGUGACCAGACUUGCGUCCGGUGAAUCACCCAGCUCUCGCGGCUGGGGCACUUCGCCGGCUCAGGCCAGCAUCAGCUCGCUGUCGGGGACAAAAGUUUCAGGAACGUAGCUCUUUUCGGGGAGUGUUAUAGCCUGUUGCAUAAUACCCUUCGGCGGGCUGAGGUACGCGCUCCGCAAGGAUGCUG